rnacentral:rRNA from 1 species
GACGAACGCUGGCGGCGUGCCUAACACAUGCAAGUCGAACGGGGGUAUUUAUUUCGAUGAAUACCUUAGUGGCGAACGGGUGAGUAACGCGUGAGCAACCUAUCCUUAAGAGGGGGAUAACAUCUGGAAACAGAUGCUAAUACCGCAUAAGACCACACUGCCGCAUGGCAGAGGGGUCAAAGGAGCAAUCCGUUGAAGGCGGGGCUCGCGUCCCAUUAGAUAGUUGGUGAGGUAACAGCUCACCAAGUCAGCGAUGGGUAGCCGAGCUGAGAGGCUGAUCGGCCACACUGGAACUGAGACACGGUCCAGACUCCUACGGGAGGCAGCAGUGGGGAAUAUUGGGCAAUGGGGGGAACCCUGACCCAGCAACGCCGCGUGAGGGAAGAAGGCCUUCGGGUUGUAAACCUCUGUCAUUAGGGAAGAAGAAAGUGACGGUACCUAAUGAGGAAGCCCCGGCUAACUACGUGCCAGCCGCCGCAGUAA